rnacentral:rRNA from 1 species
GGGGAACCUGAUGGUGCGACGCCGCGUGGAGGAUGAAGGUCUUCGGAUUGUAAACUCCUGUCAUGCGAGAACAAGAAAGUGAUAGUAUCGCAAGAGGAAGAGACGGCUAACUCUGUGCCAGCAGCCGCGGUAAUACAGAGGUCUCAAGCGUUGUUCGGAUUCAUUGGGCGUAAAGGGUGCGUAGGCGGCGUGGAAAGUUGAGUGUGAAAUCCUAGGGCUUAACCUUAGAACCGCACUCAAUACUCCCAUGCUAGAGGAAUGUAGAAGGA